ensembl:lncRNA
AGGAAGUGGGAGGAGUCAGAUGAUGGAGGAGGCGGAGCCGAGCGGAGGCGUCAUAGAGGAGGAGACUCCUCCGCAGCUGUGAACAUCUGCUUCAACUCAACUGAGACCAGAACUCCACUUAAAUUAUUACGCUGCUUUGAGACUAAAAGAACCAUUUUGUAUCGCAAGUGCUCCACUUAUGUACAAUGUUACUUCCCCCUCUGUGUUGCCUGCUACUCGAUACCUUUGACUACGAAUUUUCUUCUUCACUUUAUUUGUCGGACAGCUUUAGUUACUUUACAAACGUUUUACAUAAAAAAAACUAUCAAAUAUGAAAUAAUUUUUCCCUAAUUGUUACAUAAAUUUUAAUAACAAAUGUGCAUUUUUGUCUUCUUCUUCCCCAUUAAUCAUCUCCGGACCCCUCAGAUCUAUCCGGUGUCACUUUACAGGGCCCAGCCCCCUAUGUUGUAAACUUACUUUCCCUCCAUUAGACUAUCUCCAUUUAUUGGUAAUAAAACGUAAAAUAUAACAACCCCUAAUUCCCACGAGGGCGACCUUUCACUGGUGAUACUGAUUAUGCGUUGGCUGUAGAACUGGAGCACCACAGAACCUGUGAAACGAAUAACAGGUGUAUUAUUUAAUGUGUACUCACAAGUUGUUAACAUUACUAACUCAUAACUCGUGUUAUCAGUGAGUCUAAAACAGACGUGUGUUGGACGUAUUUCUUUUAGACUGAUUUAUUAUUCACACGUUACGCAAGCAGCCGGAUGAAAGAACAAGGAACAGCUUCCACAAUGUUAUCAGGCGGUUGGCGCGGCAACAAAAGCAGGGCGGUGCGAUGAAGGGUGGCGGCGAGGGGCCUGGAGUGACGGCCAUUGUUGCGGCUGGAGCCGAUGGAGCGAAGGCCGUGACGGGCGUGGUCGGAAGCCGGCUCACCUACGUGCGGAGCGGCGACGAAGAGAAGAUUUAUUUCUAAUCCAACACGUGUCACAGGACUGUUUUGUUCUCAGUGGCGCCGGAGGGAAUCUUUGUUUUAUUAGAACCAGAAGCCAGCGCAGAAUACGAUGAGUCAUCAAAUCAUCACAGUGAAAACGUGUGGUCUAUUAGAGACCUGUCAAUCAGCGUGUAGCCCCGCCCUAAAGCGCCCCCC